rnacentral:ncRNA from 1 species
AACUCUGGAGAGUCUCUUUAGGAGCGCCGAAGGUGUACGGCAUUUAUGUGCCAAUCUCUCAGGCAAAAGGACAGAGAAAAA